GGUCGUCAUCAUGGCGACGGUCUGGUGCAGCGCUCGUGGGACAGUACGCAUCACUCGUCAUUGUUGUCGGACAACUCCUUAUCGCUGUCAACGGCCCAAAGCGUUUCAUCUUCGGUGCCGUCCAUAGCGUUAGGAAUUCCGCACUUCUUGAAGGCCUUGAUAACCAUGGCAGACGGGAUCGUGCACCAUGCAUCUUUCACCCAUCGCACGUGAUGCGGCCCAAUUUCCAUCGCUCUCUGCGUGGCCUGAUGUACUAUGAGAGGGCAAAGAAGCCAGAGCCUGAACGUCGCCCGAUCCUGGAGCUCCAGACGGUAGUCCGCGACAUCCUAAAAGACUUCUUGCCUGAUGUUGCGAGGCAGGGCAGAAGGAGGGUCGCUCCGAAAGAAUAAAAUGGCAGUGAUUCCUUA